rnacentral:lncRNA from 1 species
AUCAUUGGAAGGUCAUGUUUCAGAUCUGAUCGAGUCAUCCAGUGCGUGGACGAAGGGCGACCUGACGACAACCCGGACCGCUGGAACUUUCCUCCCUCUUCCAGAAGUCCUGUGCGACGUGUUGGUGAGACCUUUCCACAAAUUUAAUGAGUAGAUCGUUAUUGAUUCAUGUAAGAUACCCUAUCUUCUUAUGCUUAAUCACUCAGUAGAAAUUAAACAGAAUUGGGGUGCCCUAAUAGCAUUGGUUUCUUAACCAACGCCGAUCCUGCACUUCUUUAGAGUUUUAAAAGGAACGAUUAACUGCAUGAACGUUAGUCUUCCGAUUAUAAUCUAAUCGCCUCGCUAAACCCUUUAUGUUGUGACUACUAGUUUUAAAAAUCUGAUUGCUGAUCUUAAUCAAAUUGCAUGACUACCCCGCAUUAGCUUAGGCUUCUGUGCAUAAUCGUUCCG